GCCGGUGUGGCGGAACGGUAGACGCGGCAGACUCAAAAUCUGCUCUUGGCAACAGGGUGCUGGUUCGAGUCCGGUCAUCGGCA
rnacentral:tRNA from 1 species